rnacentral:rRNA from 1 species
GAUGAACGCUGGCGGCGUGCCUAAUACAUGCAAGUCGAGCGAACAGACGAGGAGCUUGCUCCUCUGACGUUAGCGGCGGACGGGUGAGUAACACGUGGAUAACCUACCUAUAAGACUGGGAUAACUUCGGGAAACCGGAGCUAAUACCGGAUAAUAUAUUGAACCGCAUGGUUCAAUAGUGAAAGACGGUUUUGCUGCCACUUAUAGAUGGAUCCGCGCCGCAUUAGCUAGUUGGUAAGGUAACGGCUUACCAAGGCAACGAUGCGUAGCCGACCUGAGAGGGUGAUCGGCCACACUGGAACUGAGCCCCGGUCCAGCCUCCUACGGGAGGCAGCAGUAGGGAAUCUUCCGCAAUGGGCGAAAGCCUGACGGAGCAACGCCGCGUGAGUGAUGAAGGUCUUCGGAUCGUAAACCUCUGUUAUUAGGGAAGAACAAAUGUGUAAGUAACUAUGCACGUCUUGACGGUACCUAAUCAGAAAGCCCCGGCUAACUACGUG